CGUAGGUGGCAAGCGUUGUCCGGAAUUAUUGGGCGUAAAGCGCGCGCAGGCGGUUCCUUAAGUCUGAUGUGAAAGCCCCCGGCUCAACCGGGGAAGGUCAUUGGAAACUGGGGAACUUGAGUGCAGAAGAGAAGAGCGGAAUUCCACGUGUAGCGGUGAAAUGCGUAGAGAUGUGGAGGAACACCAGUGGCGAAGGCGGCUCUUUGGUCUGUAACUGACGCUGAGGCGCGAGAGCGUGGGGAGCAAACAGGAUUAGAUACCCUGGUAGUCCACGCCGUAAACGAUGAGUGCUAAGUGUUAGAGGGUUUCCGCCCUUUAGUGCUGCAGCUAACGCAUUAAGCACUCCGCCUGGGGAGUACGGCCGCAAGGCUG
rnacentral:rRNA from 1 species